UCAGUUCGGAUUACAGGCUGCAACUCGCCUGCAUGAAGUAGGAGUUGCUAGUAAUCGCGUAUCAGCAUGGCACGGUGAAUCCGUUCCCGGGCCUUGUACACACCGCCCGUCACGUCAUGGGAGCUGGCCACGCCUGAAGUCGUGAAGCCAACCGCAAGGAGGGUGAUGCCGAAGGCAGAACUAGUAACUGGGAUGAAGUCGUAACAAGGUAGCUGUACCGGAAGCUGUGGCUGGAUCACCU
rnacentral:rRNA from 1 species